rnacentral:rRNA from 1 species
GAUGAACGCUGGCGGCGUGCUUAAUACAUGCAAGUCGAGCGGAAGGGCGCUGAGCUUGUGGCGUGCUUGUGAGGGGAACGCGUGUGAGUCACACGAGGAAAACGUACCUGUCUGACGGAUAAAUCUUGGAAACUGGGGAGCAAACCCGAUAUGAUCUCCUGAUGCGUGGGGUGGGAAGGAAAGUGUCGGUGUUGGUGGAUGGUAUCGCUGGAUACGAGCUGCAUUAGCUAGUUGGUAAGGUAACGGCUUACCAAGGCAAGGAGGCAUAGACGACCGGAGAGGGUGAUCGGCGACACUGGAACUGAGACACGGUCCAGACUCCUACGGGAGGCAGCAGUAGGGAAUCUUCCGCAAUGGGCGAAAGCCUGACGGAGCAACGCCGCGUGAGUGAUGAAGGUCUUCGGAUCGUAAAACUCUGUUAUUAGGGAAGAACAUAUGUGUAAGUAACUGUGCACAUCUUGACGGUACCUAAUCAGAAAGCCACGGCUAACUACGUG